CUACGGGGGGCUCCAGUGGGGAAUAUUGCACAAUGGGCGAAAGCCUGAUGCAGCAACGCCGCGUGAGCGAUGAAGGCCUUCGGGUCGUAAAGCUCUGUCCUCAAGGAAGAAUUUUGACGGUACUUGAGGAGGAAGCCCCGGCUAACUACGUGCCAGCAGCCGCGGUAAUACGUAGGGGGCUAGCGUUAUCCGGAAUUACUGGGCGUAAAGGGUGCGUAGGUGGUCUGACAAGUCAGGGGUGAAAGGCUACGGCUCAACCGUAGUAAGCCCUUGAAACUGUCGGACUUGAGUGCAGGAGAGGAAAGUGGAAUUCCCAGUGUAGCGGUGAAAUGCGUAGAUAUUGGGAGGAACAUCAGUGGCGAAGGCGACUUUCUGGACUGUAACUGACACUGAGGCACGAAAGCGUGGGGAGCAAACAGGAUUAGAUACCCGGGUAGUC
rnacentral:rRNA from 1 species